AUUGAACGCUGGCGGCAGGCUUAACACAUGUAAGUCGAGCGGGGGAAGGUAGCUUGCUACCGGACCUAGCGGCGGACGGGUGAGUAAUGCUUAGGAAUCUGCCUAUUAGUGGGGGACAACAUCUCGAAAGGGAUGCUAAUACCGCAUACGUCCUACGGGAGAAAGCAGGGGAUCUUCGGACCUUGCGCUAAUAGAUGAGCCUAAGUCGGAUUAGCUAGUUGGUGGGGUAAAGGCAUACCAAGGCGACGAUCUGCAGCGGGACUGAGAGGAUGAUCCGCACACCUGGGACUGGGACACGGCCCAGACUCCUACGGGAGGCAGCAGUGGGGAAUAUUGGACAAUGGGGGGAACCCUGAUCCAGCCAUGCCGCGUGUGUGAAGAAGGCCUUAUGGUUGUAAAGCACUUUAAGCGAGGAGGAGGCUACUUUAGUUAAUACCCAAGAUGAGUGGACGUUACUCGCAGAAUAGGCACCGGCUAACUCUGUGCCAGCAGCCGCCGUAA
rnacentral:rRNA from 1 species